AACUUUCAACAGCGGAUCUCUUGGUUCUGGCAUCGAUGAAAAACGCAGCGAAAUGCGAUAAGUAAUGUGAAUUGCAAAAUUCAGUGAAUCAUCGAAUCUUUGAACCCACAUUGCGCCCGCCAGAAUUCUGGGGGGCAUGCCUGUUCGAGCGUCAUUU
rnacentral:rRNA from 1 species